GACAGAGGUGCCAAGCGUUAGGCGGAAUCACUGGGCUUAAAGCGUGUGUAGGUGGAUGUCUAAGUACCUUGUGAAAUCCCACGGCUCAACCGUGGAACUGCUGGGUAUACUGGACAUCUUGAGCCACUUAGGGGCUACCGGAACAAAUGGUGGAGCGGUGAAAUUCGUAGAUAUUCGCAAGAACACCAGUGGCGAAGGCGGCUCACUGGCCCGAUACUGACGCUGAGGCACGAAAGCGUGGGGAGCAAACAGG
rnacentral:rRNA from 1 species